rnacentral:rRNA from 1 species
ACGACGACGACGUCGCGGGUAACACCGGCGGCCCGAGUGGUGAUCGUGAUUAUUGGGUCUAAGGGUCCGUAGCCGGUUUGGUCAGUCCUCCGGGAAAUCUGAUAGCUCAACUAUUAGGCUUUCGGGGGAUACUGCCAGACUUGGAACCGGGAGAGGUAAGAGGUACUACAGGGGUAGGAGUGAAAUCUUGUAAUCCCUGUGGGACCACCUGUGGCGAAGGCGUCUUACCAGAACGGGUUCGACGGUGAGGGACGAAAGCUGGGGGCACGAACCGGAUUAGAUACCCGGGUAGUCCCAGCCGUAAACGAUGCUCGCUAGGUGUCAGGCAUGGCGCGACCGUGUCUGGUGCCGCAGGGAAGCCGUGAAGCGAGCCACCUGGGAAGUACGGCCGCAAGGCUGAAACUUAAAGGAAUUGGCGGGGGAGCACAACAACGGGUGGGAAGCCUGCGGUUUAAUUGGACUCAACGCCGGACAACUCACCGGGGGCGACAGCAAUAUGUAGGCCAAGCUGAAGACUUUGCCUGAAUCGCUGAGGGGAGGUGCAUGG